rnacentral:rRNA from 1 species
GAUGAACGCUGGCGGCGUGCCUAAUACAUGCAAGUCGAACGAAACUUCUUUAUCACCGAGUGCUUGCCCUCACCGAUAAAGAGUUGAGUGGCGAACGGGUGAGUAACACAUGGGCAACCUGCCCAAAAGAGGGGGAUAACACCUGGAAACAGUUCCUAAUACCGCUUAAUCAUACUUACCGCAUGGUAACUAUGUAAAAGGUCACUAUACUACCGCUUUUGGAUGGUCUCGCGGCUCAUUAGCUAGUUGGCAGGGUAACGGCUUACCAAGGCAAUGAUGCGUGGCCGAAUUGAGAGGUUGAUCGGCCACAUUGGGACUGAGACACGGCCCAAACUCCUACGGGAGGCAGCAGUAGGGAAUCUUCCACAAUGGGCGAAAGCCUGAUGGAGCAACGCCGCGUGGGUGAAGAAGGUCUUCGGAUCGUAAAACCCUGUUGUUAGAGAAGAAAGUGCGUGAGAGUAACUGUUCACGUUUCGACGGUAUCUAACCAGAAAGCCACGGCUAACUACGUG